UACGAAGGGGGCUAGCGUUGCUCGGAAUCACUGGGCGUAAAGCGCACGUAGGCGGACUCUUAAGUCGGUGGUGAAAUCCUGGAGCUCAACUCCAGAACUGCCUCCGAUACUGGGAGCCUUCGAGUCCGGGAGAGGUGGGUGGAACUGCGAGUGUAGAGGUGAAAUUCGUAGAUAUUCGCAAGAACACCAGUGGCGAAGGCGGCUCACUGGCCCCGGUACUGACGCUGAGGUGCGAAAGCGUGGGGA
rnacentral:rRNA from 1 species